rnacentral:tRNA from 1 species
UCCAAGAUAGUAGAAAUGAAUACAUCAGAGUUAAGAUCUGGAGAUGGCAGAAGCUUUUUGGAAC